CUUAGAUAACUGCCCUGCCCUAUGAUGUCACAGCAGGUCUGUGUGAAGGCCCAGUUUGGGAGGUGCAGCUUGGCCAGGGUACUUUAGGCAGUGGAUGUUUUGGGGGCACAGAGAAAGCAGAAAGGUCUGCAUCAAGAGACAACACAAGAGGUGAAAGAGGGACAAGCAAGGGGGAAAUAUUGUCUCUGGGCAAGUCAUUGCUGAAUAUCAAGGUCCUGCGGGUGUGCAGAACUGAAGCGCUACACAGUGGUUUUUAGCGGAAAGAGGGGAAAUCAUCUGAAAUGUUUGACUCUUGUGCACUGAGCUUAAGGGCUCCAGAUCAAGACUUUCAUCUCCUCGUCUCCUUAUCUCCAAGUUUCCUCUCCGUCCUCCUGAUUGUGACCCCUGUCCUAUCUGUGAAAGAUGGAAAGGUCAACACAGGAGCUCUUUCUGAACUUUAUGAUCGUCCUGAUCACGGUGCUGCUCAUGUGGCUGCUUGUCAAGAGCUACCAGGACGCCUGAGCCAGAAUUGAAAUGAGCGUCUGGCAGGCUCAGUGCUUCACCUGGUUUGUGAUGUUGAAGCUGGAAAGAGAGCAUACAGUGCAGCCUGACCAGCAGAUGGCAGUGUUUGAGUUGGAAACAAGAAAGAGAAGGCCUUUUUCUGACCUCUCAAGAAAUGAAGAGAUGGGCCUUGAAAUGUAGUGGCUGAGUUCUGUAAAAUAGAGAUUAAUUACAUGGAUCUUAGCUUCAUUUUCUUAAGCUUUGGUAUACUUGUUUACAGCUUAGGCACCUCUAACAGUGGCCAUUUUCACAGCUCCAAUUGAUUGACAUGUCAACGUGUGUGCUGAAGCAUAAGUGAAAUAAAAUGAAAGAGAGAAAUGAAGCCGUGUGUGAGCGUCUGGAUGACUGAAACACUGAAAUGUUAGCAUGGCUAAUAAUGAGGGCUAGUAAACCAUGAAUGGAAGCCAAUAGGAGUUACUCAGCAAGAUGCCUGGCUUUCUGUUGUUAGCCAAAAACAAUGGGUUCACAUUUACUCAGUGUACCAUUCACUGCACCGUUCAUUGCAUACAUGCUAUCAAAAGCAAAUUACUGAAUACCACUGCAACAUUUAGACAGAC
ensembl:lncRNA